UACGUAGGGGGCAAGCGUUGUCCGGAUUCAUUGGGCGUAAAGAGCGUGUAGGCGGCCAGAUAGGUCAGCUGUGAAAACUCGGGGCUCAACCCUGAGACGUCGGUUGAAACCAUCUGGCUAGAGUCCGGAAGAGGAGUGUGGAAUUCCCGGUGUAGCGGUGAAAUGCGCAGAUAUCAGGAGGAACACCGGUGGCGAAAGCGGCGCACUGGACCACAACUGACGCUGAGGCGCGAAAGCUAGGGGAGCAAACAGG
rnacentral:rRNA from 1 species